rnacentral:rRNA from 1 species
AUUGAACGCUGGCGGCAUGCCUUACACAUGCAAGUCGAACGGCAGCACGGGUGCUUGCACCUGGUGGCGAGUGGCGAACGGGUGAGUAAUACAUCGGCACAUGUCCUGUAGUGGGGGAUAGCCCGGCGAAAGCCGGAUUAAUACCGCAUACGAUCUACGGAUGAAAGCGGGGGACCUUCGGGCCUCGCGCUAUAGGGUUGGCCGAUGGCUGAUUAGCUGGUUGGUGGGGUAAAGGCCUACCAAGGCGACGAUCAGUAGCUGGUCUGAGAGGACGACCAGCCACACUGGGACUGAGACACGGCCCAGACUCCUACGGGAGGCAGCAGUGGGGAAUUUUGGACAAUGGGCGAAAGCCUGAUCCAGCAAUGCCGCGUGUGUGAAGAAGGCCUUCGGGUUGUAAAGCACUUUUGUCCGGAAAGAAAUCCUUGGCCCUAAUACGGUCGGGGGAUGACGGUACCGGAAGAAUAAGCACCGGCUAACUACGUG